ACUCCGGUUUAUUCUGCCGGAGGCCACUGCUAUUGGGGUCCGGCUAAGCCAUGCGAGUGGUGGGCGCGGUCGCAAGAUCGUGGCCCCGCAUACGGCUCAGUAACACGUAGUUAACCUACCCUCAAGUCUGGGACAACCUCGGGAAACUGAGGACGAUCCCGGAUGGGCGAGGGACGCUGGAAUGAUUCUUCGCUUAAAGCUCCGGCGCUUGAGGAUGGGACUGCGGCCUAUCAGGUAGUUGGUGGUGUGACGGACCACCAAGCCUACGACGGGUACGGGCGAUGGGAGUCGGAGCCCGGAGAUGGGGACUGAGACAAGGCCCCAGGCCCUACGGGGCGCAGCAGGCGCGAAAACUC
rnacentral:ncRNA from 1 species